rnacentral:misc_RNA from 1 species
AAAGUCGUAACAAGGUAUCCGUAGGUGAACCUGCGGAUGGAUCAUUAGUGAAUGUGCGGCGAGGGCGUAAGCCUGAGCCUGCUAAUCCACCCUUGUGCAAUGUACCGUACCCUGGUGGGCGGCUCUCCGGCCUAGCUGGAUAGCUUCCCACCAAAGGGCUUUCGAGCCCGACCAACGCUUUAAUCUUUGUCUGAACUUAAAGAACCAAAUGAUCUAAACAACUUUUGACAACGGAUCUCUUGGCUCUC